AGAAAAUUAGACAAACUUUGGCCCCAGCCACAAAGAAGGAAACUAUUGAAAAGGGGAGGGAGUGUGUCCUCAGGGCACUACCUUUUUACCUGAAUGAAGACCCAACCAUCCUCUUCAAAGAAUAAUUGCUACAGCUACAGCUGUUCAGAGG